rnacentral:lncRNA from 1 species
CUCAGACCUUGUGUCUUCUGGUAGAACAUUCAAGAACUGAUGGUCAUCUCCAUGGCAACAUGAGGAUUCAAAUGAGAAAGACAUCUGGAAAUCAUGUAGAUGAUACAGAAAUCCACAGCCUUGUUGGGUUUUAUAAGAAACUUGGCCUGAUCCACCAGGUUCUGAGAGAACAAGCUAAUCAUAUCCUUACCAAGCCCUCAGGAGAGGAUAAGGAGGAAUCCCUCCACCCAACAGGAACAGGAGAUUUGUUGCUUAUAGGGUGAAAGCUCCCAUUGAAGUCACUGGAGAUGCCAUUGCAACCCUGCAGCUGUCCCAGGCUGAACCCCUGGACAUUGCCUACAGCCAAACCUCUCUCUCUUGACAAUAGGCAGGGACAGCUCUACAACCAUUCUCAUCUCUGAAGAAGUUACAGAAAACUGAAACCAUCAUGCCUUUUUCCCUUAGAUAUUUGGAGAAGGGGGAGAUAUCAUGGGCAUUGUACCCCCAGAAAUUCAGACAAACUAUUAUCAAGGAAAUUCCUUUGCUCCCUUACACCUUCUACUCCCAACCCAAAACACCUGACCUUGAAUAUUACUCUCCUUUGAUUGCCCCAUUAAAUUGAGGACAGAGAUAUCUCAUCCAUCUGUCCUCCAAAUCAGGAGAACCACCCCCAUGCCCUCGGGCUAACCUCCCCUCAACCCCUUGCUCCAGAGUCAGGUCUCCACUGCUAUAGAAGAAUAUAAAAACCCCAGAAUGGAAGAAAGCUCCCAGGUUGCUCUACUCAUGCUGUCUUGCUAGCCG